GGAGAGAUGUCCGAGUGGUUUAAGGUGCAGACCUGGAACGUCUGUGUGGGGGCAACUUCACCAAGGGUUCGAAUCCCUUUCUCUCCG
rnacentral:tRNA from 1 species